UACGUAGGGUCCGAGCGUUGUCCGGAAUUACUGGGCGUAAAGAGCUCGUAGGUGGUUUGUCGCGUUGUUCGUGAAAACUCACAGCUCAACUGUGGGCGUGCGGGCGGAUACGGGCAGACUAGAGUACUGCAGGGGAGACUGGAAUUCCUGGUGUAGCGGUGGAAUGCGCAGAUAUCAGGAGGAACACCGGUGGCGAAGGCGGGUCUCUGGGCAGUAACUGACGCUGAGGAGCGAAAGCGUGGGGAGCGAACAGG
rnacentral:rRNA from 1 species